CGCAUGCGCAUUAAGUGGGCGGAUGUAAUGAUUUCGAUGGGAAGAAAUAAUAUUCAGCAUCGAAGGAAUAACAACUGAAAUCAUCCCGUCCUGCAGCAUGCACCUAUGUGAAUGUGGAGAAUGACCAGCAAUGUCCAAGGGGUAGCAGCAGGGUAACACUGCAUGAGGCGGUGCCCCCUGAAGGAGCCCAAAACACUGCUCUUCAAAUGGAACACAUCCAACCUUCAGGUGACCGUGCAGGAUGUACCACUCUGGAACAUCAAGCCUCUCCCCACCUGCCAGGUACACCCACCGUCUUCUGUGGCUGAAUAAUGUUUUGCUGUGAAUUUUGUCUCAAAGCAAAUCCUGCUCAAAUGUGACAAACUUUGGAGUGUAAGAAUGUGAGCGAUAUGCUGAGAUGUUAUACGUUUUGCCUUGUGACAAAAUGUUAUCAAAAACCUUUAGUGAUUUGUAUUCUAUUUUACUUUCAGCACAUGAAAAUAUUUCUACUUCUGACCAUCGAAGAGAAUGGAAAACCAUUUUCCAGAUCAGCCCUCAUACAUCCUCCUGAUGGCCUAACAACUGAAUGACAUGUCGAUGCUGAGUAUGAUCCAUUUCAAUCAUUUGAGGAAGCUCUCCCUGAUAUAGGGGAUUGGAUGUACAAUGACGGACAUACGUUUAAUGAAGGAUUUGAAGAUGGUUUGAGUGAGGAGUGUGCAGAAGAGUCCAAUUUCAAGGACACAACAGACAAACCAAUACAUGACAAUGCAUCAGAAACCAUGGCAGAGUGCCUUCUGAUCAGCAUGGGUUAUGUAAACUGUCCUAAAGUCACAGGUAAGGCCCUAAGCCAUAUGCUCAAAAUGUUCAAGUUGCUUUAUCCCGAUAGUCUGAACACAGACUGCUUAAACAGUGUGCAGAAGUUCCAAAACUUUUUUUUAUCCCACUCUGCAUCAUCGCCUACUAUAUUACAUAAAUCCUCCAAGAAUUGUUUUGGGCCAAUAGAAAGUAAACAAAUAAAAUGCCUGCUUUGUGGGACCAGUGUGUCAGAAGAAAGAUUCUCAUCCUUUUUUUAAAGUAUGUACAGAUUGAUUUCUUGUUUACCACAGCACAUUCAUGUGCCAAAUGGGCCCUCGUUGGUGAAUAUAAACAUGCAGGUUUUUCUUUGCUGCAAGAUAGUGUAACAUAUGAGACAUGCAGUCAUGUUAUUCCCCUAUUGGAAACCUCUGCAGUACAGUAGUAUUCUUGGAUGACAUAUUGGGUAAAGUUGUUUUCCUUGACUUCACAUCUAUGCCUGGCAUAGGGAUUGCAGUUCAUUUCCCCAACACACUUGAAAAGUUUGAAAUAAUGAAGAACUGAACUGGCCUAAGAAGCCACAAAUCAAAUCUUUAAUCAUUGUUAUAAAUGCUCUGAAAAUACACACUGAUGUGAUGUUGCCGUGGAUUCUGUAAAUAUGUACUGUAUAUGGAGUAUCAUUGUUGAUGAUGUUUUUGCAUUGUGUGUAAUAUUUCAGUGGCAAAUAUAUUACAUUUACUUGUUUAAUAAAGCCACUGUCCUUUUUAAUGAAUACAUAGGCCUACUAUGCUACUGUAUUUUAAUAUUAGUCCUUAUGAUGGUGGUUGGAGAGCCAAAUAUCUUCUGAAGUGGUACUUUGUUAAAAGAGUUUGAGAACCACUGCUCUAGAAAGUUCACAAAUGUUAAAAGCUCUUACAAAGUGUCUUGUGAUCAUAUCAGUAUUGUUUGGGUUCAGUUUUAAAUCUCACAAUUGUAGUCACUGAGUUACUGUACAUGACGUGUGGAUAAGAAAUCAACAAAUUAAGUCCAACUUUAUUUAAAUAAACCAUUUAGAUUACAGACCAUAUAUCCAUAUUGUCUGAAUUCAUUAUUUUCUCCCAAUGUUGGCAUGAGAUCAACUGGAAUAUGAUUGAGGUAUAACUAAAUUGAGCCCAUUAAAAUGCAUUUUUUUAGAAAACGGGUAUAUCUAACAACUCAAAUAGUGAGCAGUGAGAGACAAAACCAAGUAUAUCUCUCACUGAGACAUCAUUGAGACAUAUUGAAACCAAUACUCAUCAAUUGUCUUUUUGCCGAAAUAGAAAAGAGACAUCUGAGAACUCAAACAGUGAGUAGUGAGAAACAAAACCAGGUGUUUCUCUCACUGAGUCAUAAUUGAGACAUAUUGGAGACCAGCUCAUUCAUCUCUCAUUUUGGUCUUAGUUGAAAUGGGGAAAAGAGAUAACUAUUAGACAACUAUGAGAUCUCUCAUAGUGCUCACUGUGAGCCUUAUUUCUCAGGAGAUACAUUUGAGAAGAAUGAGAAAACUACUUUGGUCUCCAUUAGUGCUCUUUUAUGUCUAGGAGAUAGAUAUAAGACAUACAUGAGAUCUCAUCUUCAAUUUUGCUUUGCUAUGGGAAACAAGAGUUUGAUGAGCAUUCCUCAACUUUUUCGGUCUUUUUUGACACUCGUGCCAGCUUUUUUUAAGCAUGUUGCAGGCAUCAAAUUCCAAAAUGAGCUAAUAUUUGCAAAAAAAAAAGUUUCUCAGAUCCAACAUCAAAUAUCUUGUCUUUGCAGUCUAUUCAAUUGAAUAUAAUUUAAAAAGGAUUUACAAAUCAUUGUAUUCUGUUUUUAUUUACCAUUUACACAACGUGCUACUUCACUGGUUUGGGGUUUUGUACAUGUUGACAGUACAUUGCAGUGUUAUUUUGUUACAGCCGUGCCCACUGUGUGAAGUACUUUUGCAAGACUCCUAGCAAUAAUAUUACACUUCACCAAAGAGCCUGCUGUAAAAGAAAUGACCAUUGAAUGAAGAUACAUACUCAGGUCACCGUGAUCUGAAAAGGAGAGUGAAGAAUGUUUUUGUAUUCCCCAGAUUCUAAUCAUCUUGGAUGAAUAAACAAGCAAUUCCUAAUUUCACUUGGAAAUGUGUUUACUAUAAAAGUGUAGCACUGUUUCCACACAAAAUACCUUCUGUUUUUGGAAAGAUGCCCAUGUGUGUCUUCCAGGUUGAACAUUCCACCCUUUGUGCCUGCCCGGACUGUGCUGGAAGGCCUCGAGUCAGAGGAUGCGUGUGAAGACAAGAAAGCUGUAAAAAAGGAGAUCCAUAGCAAAAAGGGAGCCAAAAAGGACAAAAUGGAAGAGGAGAAUACAGACCUGCUCAGACUUUGCCACACAGUACCGCUGGAGGUGGUGAACUUAGGUAAGAAUCCAUGUUUCAAGGUUGAUCGGGGUGGGGGGAAGACAACGACACAAAGGUGCUCCUCUUAUUUAGACUUUUUGUUUAUGGAGGUGGGAAAGGUUACGAUCCAGAGAAGAAAGACUACUCAGGUUUUGAGGCCUGGUUGCAGUGUUACUAUGUGGAUGGAAUGAAGUCUGUACGCGACCACAAUGGCAGGACUAUGUGGUUCAAAGUAUGCAAACACAUUUUCAUACGUAACAACUAUAUUUGUAGCACGUAUUGACUAAUAGAAAAUGGUGUCAUUUCAGGGCGAUCCAGGUCCUAUGGCUCCUAAAGGUAAACGCCAGAAAAAAUAGUUGAGAUACCAUUACACAUAAGAGAAAGCUUAGUGUGUCUUUAUCUUUUCUCACACACCAGAAUCAAAGUCUCCAAAGGCCAAAAAGAGAAAAGAUACAGAUGCAGACCAUGAUUACCCCCGCAAGAAAAAGGUAUAUUCAGUAGGUAAUCACCACCAGCACAUAGAAAUCUAACCCCAUUGUGGCUGUACUUCAGGUGUCCAGGAAACACAACUCUGACAGCACAGUGAAGAAAAAAGCAGCCAAAAAGCCCACAAAAGCAGCAAAGGAAGAAGAAAAUGGACCUCAAGAAGAAGCCACACCCAGAAGAAGAUCAGCAAACACACCUCAGCAAGAACCGAAAUCCACGUCAGGCAGGAGGAAAAAGAACAAUACAGAGCCAGCUGCAGGUCUGAUUCUAAUAAUACUCCCAUUUUCUGAAAAUAUUAAGAGCCUGAUCUUUGAGGAUCCAAUUCCCACACACUUAUCUGUGUGCGCAAACUAUAAAAUUGCAUGUACUGUUGGUGGACGUGUUGUAUGUGAUCUACUUUGUGCAAUUGAUAGCAGCAAAAGUGGCACAGAUCACCCUAUUUUUGUGUACUAGAAGCAUUAUGUGCCCUUGGAAACACUUCUUUCCCUCUACAUUCAUGUUAUUAUGCUCUCCACACUGGAGGGGGGCUUAUAUUAGAUUAUAGCACAUAUCGAUCAUCUAACACCUUUUCUGCAAUAUAGAAUCACAGUAUGUAUACUAUUUGCAGCAGGAAUGAUCAAACUGCAUAUUGCAAGACAUUUUUUUUAGGAGUUAUACUAAAUACAAAAAAAAAAAACGCAACGCUUUUGUUCUUGUUCCCAAUUUAAAUGAACUCAAAGAUCGAAAACUUUGACUAUAAACACAAAAUACCUGUUCCUCUCAAAUAUUGUUCACAAAUCUGUAUACAUUUGUUAGUGAGCAUUUUUUCUUUGCCAAGAUAAUCCAUCCCACCUGACAGGUGUGCCUUGAGCUGUCCAAAAUAAAAGGCCACUGUGAAAUGUGCAGUUUUAUCACACAACACAAUGCUUCAGAUGUCGCAAGUUUUGAGGGAGCGUGCAGUAGGCAUGCUGACUGCAGCAAUGUCCACCAGAGCUGUUGCCCGUCAAUUAAAUGUUUAUUUCUCCGCCAUAAGAAUAGAAUAGAAUAGAAAGUACUUUAUUGAUCCCUGGGGGAAAUUCAGCACCACAGUUCGCUCACAAUAAACAAUGAUAAUAAUAAAUAAUAUAAUAUAUAUGAAUAAUAUAAAUAUAUUCUACAUUUAAGUGCAGUCAAGGAACAUAUGCAUUAUACAGUCGGAUGGCUGUCGGUGUGAAGGACCUCCUGUGUCGUUCCGUGUUGCAUUUUGGGAGUCUGAGCCUUCCACUGAAUGUGCUCAUUCUCUCUGCAAGGUCCGAGUGUAGUGGGUGGGAGGUGUUGUCCAUAAUGGCUAGGAGUUUUGCUAGACUUCUCUCUGACACCACCGCCAGAGAGUCCAGCUCCACUCCCAUCUUGUUACUGGCCUUCUCUACCAACUUGUCCAGUCUGUAUGUGUCCCUCACUCUCAGCCCGCUGCCCCAGCAGGCCACGGCGUACAAGAGGGCGCCUGCCACCAGCGACUCGUAGAACAUCUUCAACAUCUUUGUACAGACGUUGAAGGAUCCUAGCCUCCAAAGGAAAUAUAGAUUCGGCUCUGUCCCUUCUUGUAGAGGGCCUCAGCGUGUUUUGACCCAUUCAGCUUGUUGUCCAUGUGUACUCCGAGGUAUUUAUAAUCCUCUACCAUGUCCACAUCCACCCCUUUGAUGGAAACAGGGGUCGCCAGAGUACUCCUCCUCCUUCCCAGGUCCACAACCAGCUCCUUGGUCUCCGUAACAUUGAGCUGGAGGUGGUUCUUUCCACACCAUGUGACAAAGUCCUCCACCAGUGUCCUGUAUUCCUCGUCAUCACCUUCCUCAAUACACCCCACUAUCGCAGAGUCAUCAGAAAACUUCUGAAGGUGGCAGGACUCUGACUGAUAGUGGAAAUGGGUGGUGUAAAUGGUGUAGAGGAAGGGGGAAGAGUACUGUAGCCUCCGGGGCCCCGGUGUUGCUGACCAGCCUGUUAGACACACAGUCCUGCAGUGGCAUAUACUGUGGUCUGUCAGUCAGGUAAUCUACAACCCAGGACACCAAGGGGGCCUCCACCUGCAUCUUCUCCAACUUCCCACCCAGUAGCCCAGGCCGUUUAGUAUAAGCCGCCUCCAAAGGUGUUUCAGAGAAUUUGGCAAUACAUCCAACUGGCCUCACAGCCGCAGACCAUAUUGAUUGGCUGAGACCUGCCACCCGGACAGCUGCUACAACAAUUGGUUUGCUUAACCAUAGCAUUUCUGCACAAACUGUAAGAAACUACCAUGAAUUGAUUAACGUGGACCCCGACUUAAACAAGUUGAAAAACGUAUUGGGGUGUUACCAAUUAGUGGUCAAUUGUACGGAAUAUGUACUGAACUGUGCAAUCUACUAAUAAAAGUAUCAAUCAAUCAA